UCAAAAACAGUUCUAAGGAAUACUAACUUUGGGAGUUAGAGGGUGGCGACUAGUCAUUUUUGAA
rnacentral:tRNA from 1 species